rnacentral:rRNA from 1 species
GAAGUCGGAAUCGCUAGUAAUCGUGGAUCAGAAUGCCACGGUGAAUACGUUCCCGGGCCUUGUACACACCGCCCGUCACACCAUGGGAGUGGGUUGCAAAAGAAGUAGGUAGCUUAACCUUCGGGAGGGCGCUUACCACUUUGUGAUUCAUGACUGGGGUGAAGUCGUAACAAGGUAACCGUAGGGGAACCUGCGGUUGGAUCACCUCCUUACCUUAAAGAA